rnacentral:tRNA from 1 species
GAGGGUAUAGCUCAGUGGUAAAGUGCAUGCCUAGCAUGCACGAGGUCCUGGGUUCAACCCCUAGUACUGCCA